GGGCUCAACCCCAAAACGCGUUGGAUACUGGCAGACUAGAGUUAUGUAGAGGUUAGCGGAAUUCCUUGUGAAGCGGUGAAAUGCGUAGGUAUAAGGAAGAACAUCAAUAUGGCGAAGGCAGCUAACUGGGCGUACACUGAUACUGAGAGACGAAAGCGUGGGGAGCAAACAGGAUUAGAUACCCUGGUAGUCCACGCCCUAAACGAUGAUCAUUAGUUGAUGGGGAACUCAUCGACGCAGCUAACGCAUUAAAUGAUCCGCCUGAGUAGUACGUUCGCAAGAAUAAAACUUAAAGGAAUUGACGGGGAUCCGCACAAGCGGUGGAGCAUGUGGUUUAAUUUGAUGUUACGCGUAGAACCUUACCCACUCUUGACAUCUUCUGCAAAGCUAUGGAGACAUAGUGGAGGUUAACAGAAUGACAGAUGGUGCAUGGUUGUCGUCAGCUCGUGUCGUGAGAUGUUCGGUUAAGUCCUGCAACGAGCGCAACCCUUAUCCUUAGUUACUACCAUUUAGUUGAGCACUCUAAGGAGACUGCCCGAGUAAUCGGGAGGAAGGUGGGG
rnacentral:rRNA from 1 species